GGGUUGUGAGGUUAAGCGACUAAGCGUACACGGUGGAUGCCCUGGCAGUCAGAGGCGAUGAAGGACGUGCUAAUCUGCGAAAAGCGUCGGUAAGGUGAUAUGAACCGUUAUAACCGGCGAUGUCCGAAUGGGGAAACCCAGUGCAAUUCGUUGCACUAUCGUUAACUGAAUACAUAGGUUAACGAGGCGAACCGGGGGAACUGAAACAUCUAAGUACCCCGAGGAAAAGAAAUCAACCGAGAUUCCCCCAGUAGCGGCGAGCGAACGGGGAGCAGCCCAGAGUCUGAAUCAGCUUGUGUGUUAGUGGAACGGUCUGGAAAGUCCGACGGUACAGGGUGAUAGUCCCGUACACCAAAAUGCACAGGUUGUGAACUCGAAGAGUAGGGCGGGACACGUGGUAUCCUGUCUGAAUAUGGGGGGACCAUCCUCCAAGGCUAAAUACUCCUGACUGACCGAUAGUGAACCAGUACCGUGAGGGAAAGGCGAAAAGAACCCCGGCGAGGGGAGUGAAAAAGAACCUGAAACCGUGUACGUACAAGCAGUGGGAGCACCUUCGGGUGUGACUGCGUACCUUUUGUAUAAUGGGUCAGCGACUUAUAUUCUGUAGCAAGGUUAACCGUAUAGGGGAGCCGCAGGGAAACCGAGUCUUAACUGGGCGUUAAGUUGCAGGGUAUAGACCCGAAACCCGGUGAUCUAGCCAUGGGCAGGUUGAAGGUUGGGUAACACUAACUGGAGGACCGAACCGACUAAUGUUGAAAAAUUAGCGGAUGACUUGUGGCUGGGGGUGAAAGGCCAAUCAAACCGGGAGAUAGCUGGUUCUCCCCGAAAGCUAUUUAGGUAGCGCCUCGUGAAUUCAUCUUCGGGGGUAGAGCACUGUUUCGGCUAGGGGGUCAUCCCGACUUACCAACCCGAUGCAAACUACGAAUACCGAAGAAUGUUAUCACGGGAGACACACGGCGGGUGCUAACGUCCGUCGUGAAGAGGGAAACAACCCAGACCGCCAGCUAAGGUCCCAAAGUCAUGGUUAAGUGGGAAACGAUGUGGGAAGGCACAGACAGCCAGGAUGUUGGCUUAGAAGCAGCCAUCAUUUAAAGAAAGCGUAAUAGCUCACUGGUCGAGUCGGCCUGCGCGGAAGAUGUAACGGGGCUAAACCAUGCACCGAAGCUGCGGCAGCGACGCUUAUGCGUUGUUGGGUAGGGGAGCGUUCUGUAAGCCUGCGAAGGUGGCCUGUGAGGGUUGCUGGAGGUAUCAGAAGUGCGAAUGCUGACAUAAGUAACGAUAAAGCGGGUGAAAAGCCCGCUCGCCGGAAGACCAAGGGUUCCUGUCCAACGUUAAUCGGGGCAGGGUGAGUCGACCCCUAAGGCGAGGCCGAAAGGCGUAGUCGAUGGGAAACAGGUUAAUAUUCCUGUACUUGGUGUUACUGCGAAGGGGGGACGGAGAAGGCUAUGUUAGCCGGGCGACGGUUGUCCCGGUUUAAGCAUGUAGGCGGAGGUUCCAGGUAAAUCCGGUACCUUUUAACGCUGAGGUGUGAUGACGAGGCACUACGGUGCUGAAGUAACAAAUGCCCUGCUUCCAGGAAAAGCCUCUAAGCAUCAGGUAACAUUAAAUCGUACCCCAAACCGACACAGGUGGUCAGGUAGAGAAUACCAAGGCGCUUGAGAGAACUCGGGUGAAGGAACUAGGCAAAAUGGUGCCGUAACUUCGGGAGAAGGCACGCUGGUGUGUAGGUGAAGUCCCUGCGGAUGGAGCUGAGACCAGUCGAAGAUACCAGCUGGCUGCAACUGUUUAUUAAAAACACAGCACUGUGCAAACACGAAAGUGGACGUAUACGGUGUGACGCCUGCCCGGUGCCGGAAGGUUAAUUGAUGGGGUUAUCCGUAAGGAGAAGCUCUUGAUCGAAGCCCCGGUAAACGGCGGCCGUAACUAUAACGGUCCUAAGGUAGCGAAAUUCCUUGUCGGGUAAGUUCCGACCUGCACGAAUGGCGUAAUGAUGGCCAGGCUGUCUCCACCCGAGACUCAGUGAAAUUGAACUCGCUGUGAAGAUGCAGUGUACCCGCGGCAAGACGGAAAGACCCCGUGAACCUUUACUAUAGCUUGACACUGAACAUUGAGCCUUGAUGUGUAGGAUAGGUGGGAGGCUUUGAAGCGUGGACGCCAGUCUGCGUGGAGCCAACCUUGAAAUACCACCCUUUAAUGUUUGAUGUUCUAACGUUGGCCCCUUAUCGGGGUUGCGGACAGUGUCUGGUGGGUAGUUUGACUGGGGCGGUCUCCUCCCAAAGAGUAACGGAGGAGCACGAAGGUUAGCUAAUCCUGGUCGGACAUCAGGAGGUUAGUGCAAUGGCAUAAGCUAGCUUGACUGCGAGCGUGACGGCGCGAGCAGGUGCGAAAGCAGGUCAUAGUGAUCCGGUGGUUCUGAAUGGAAGGGCCAUCGCUCAACGGAUAAAAGGUACUCCGGGGAUAACAGGCUGAUACCGCCCAAGAGUUCAUAUCGACGGCGGUGUUUGGCACCUCGAUGUCGGCUCAUCACAUCCUGGGGCUGAAGUAGGUCCCAAGGGUAUGGCUGUUCGCCAUUUAAAGUGGUACGCGAGCUGGGUUUAGAACGUCGUGAGACAGUUCGGUCCCUAUCUGCCGUGGGCGCUGGAGAAUUGAGGGGGGCUGCUCCUAGUACGAGAGGACCGGAGUGGACGCAUCACUGGUGUUCGGGUUGUCAUGCCAAUGGCACUGCCCGGUAGCUAAAUGCGGAAGAGAUAAGUGCUGAAAGCAUCUAAGCACGAAACUUGCCCCGAGAUGAGUUCUCCCUGAGACUUUAAGUCUCCUGAAGGAACGUUGAAGACGACGACGUUGAUAGGCCGGGUGUGUAAGCGCAGCGAUGCGUUGAGCUAACCGGUACUAAUGAACCGUGAGGCUUAACCUUACAACGCCGAAGCUGUU
rnacentral:rRNA from 1 species